UACGUAGGGCGCAAGCGUUGUCCGGAAUUAUUGGGCGUAAAGAGCUCGUAGGCGGCUUGUCGCGUCGGUUGUGAAAGCCCGGGGCUUAACCCCGGGUCUGCAGUCGAUACGGGCAGGCUAGAGUUCGGUAGGGGAGAGUCGGAAUUCCUGGUGUAGCGGUGGAAAUGACGCAGAUAUCAGGAGGAACACCGGUGGCGAAGGCGGAUCUCUGGGCCGAUACUGACGCUGAGGAGCGAAAGCGUGGGGAGCGAACAGG
rnacentral:rRNA from 1 species